rnacentral:misc_RNA from 1 species
GAUGAAGAACGUAGCGAAAUGCGAUAAGUAGUGUGAAUUGCAGAAUUCAGUGAAUCAUCGAAUCUUUGAACGCACCUUGCGCCCUUGGCUAUUCCGAAGGGCAUGCCUGUUUGAGUAUCAUGAACACCUCAACUCUCAUGGUUUUUCCAUGAUGGGCUUGGACUUUGGGGGUCUUGCUGGCCUAUAGUCAGCUCCUCUUAAAUGAAUCAGCUUGCCAGUGUUUGGUGGCAUCACAGGUGUGAUAACUAUCUACGCUUGUGGUUUUCCAUCAAGUCACCUUCAGCGAUGGAGGUUCGCUGGGGCUCAUAAAGAAGGCCUCUCCUCGGUGAGGAUGGCUCCUUUGAACGUUUGAUCUCAAAUCAGGUAGGACUACCCGCUGAACUUAAGCAUAUCAAUAAGCGGAGGA